GAGUGCCAGGAGCGAGAGCGCUGGUAAGGGAGCAGGCGUGCGGGAAGCGGGGUGCGACGCCAAGGCGAGGGGUCGCGCCGGUUGGGCCCCUCCUCUUCCCUGUAGCCGCCCGCCUUCGCCCUGCGGCUCGCGUUCCGGAGAGUUCUGCGCAGUACCUCUUCUUCCGGCGCUGCCCUCUCUCCUCGCUUGGAUUCAAGCUGUGUGCCCACUAGGUUACUGAUGCUCUGGCCUCAUCGGCCUCCCAGGGAUCUGAACCAUCUGCAUGCAGGACCCCAACUCCCUCUCAUGUCCGUGAGUGCAAAGCAAUGCGUUCUGAGCCCAGAAGCCUUGCCCUGAAGGCCCAGCCCUCCCUUCGCUGAUGCUUUUCUGAAUUUCAUAACCAACAUCAGAGACCACUAAUCUCCUCAAAGGCUAUUGCAAAACUCCCUGUGGGCUGCGGGCACAUGGAGGCAAUUAACAUGAUUUAUAGGAGAGAAGAGCUAUUGGAAAGAGGAAACCCACUGUUUCCACAUGGGCCUGGGGCUUGUAAGUCAAAAAGUUUCCCUCGUCCCCACAUCAGUUCUGCAGAGAGUGACGGCUAACCUGUGUUCCUGGCCCCUACGAGUCUGUGCACAAAGAUGAGCGCUUGUCUGAUGACUCCUGAAUCCCUUGGGCUGCUCUGGCAUCUCUCCACCGCUAUGGAGAUGACUGUCCACUGAAAUGAACUUGGGCCCAGCUUCCCCAGGAAAUAAUUCAAUUCAAACUCGUCUACUGCUGUGGGAUGCAACAGAGCAUUUAAGUGGCAUUAUUAGUCUGCCUUUUAAAGCCCCUUCUGGCUUAAUUUAUGAUUCACUACAGCGCUCACCACUUUCUGGGAAGGAGAGACACUCAUACCUUUUCUAUAUGACUCACCGUUUUUGCAGUUACCUUUCUCAGGUUCAGACCAUCCAGGUAACUAAAGGAAUUUGCAGCGAGACCGGCUACCUUGCUCUGGACUCCCCUUAAAACGCUCUGAUGGCCUGUUACCAAAAAAAGAGAUUGAACUUCAAAUGGCAAAUGGCCAGGAUUGUGUUGUUUUGACACUUGGAACAAUGCAAUGCCAAUUCCGUUAAUUUAUGGGAGAAACCGCUCAGUUCUCUAACUUGCUGGCAGCCGGCAAAUGGUUCUAGAAUCAACAGUGCCCCCUGGUGGCAUCUUCUGGCAUAGUCUCAUGGCAGAGAGAAAUAUAAUAAGAAAAGCUCAGAUUUCUGGGUUUCAGCAAAGGGGCAGAAACAUGCUAAGGGGGCCAUUAAAUUCCUCAGCAGGUGACACUAAUGAGUGUCUUUCUUCUCAAGAGUCAUCAUGGGUCACCACCGGCCCCUUUGCCUCGGACUUGUGAGUGCAAGUUGAAAUAGUUCCCGGAGUGGCCCCUCUUUGAUAGGAUUUCAGCCUGCAGUGUUUCCCACUUGAAGCAGUUGUCUUCAUGGAGCUCAGGAGACUGACAUUUGAUCUCUGCCAAGCACCAGAGUGAUUAAAGCUCAGGCUAGCCGGGACUAGGAACCAGGCUGAGGAGAAGAAAUCCAAAAUUAUUUCUGAUGGAAUGCCACUCUUAGUGGAGAUCCAAUGAGAGGAGCAGAACCACUAUGAAUAGGGAAUUUAUUUUAGGAAUGGGACCUUAUAGAAUUGUGGCAGAGAGUUCCCGUUGUGGCUCAGUAGUAACGAAUCCGACUAGUAUCCUCGAGGAUGCGGGUAUGAUCCCUGGCCUUGCUCAGUGGGUUAAGGCUCCUGUGUUGCUUGUUGCUGUGGCUGUGGUGUAGGCUGGGAGCUACAGCUCCGAUUUGACCCCUGGCCUGGGAACUUCCAUAUGCCAGGCCAGGUGUGACCCUAAAAAGACCAAAAAAAAAAAAAAGUUGCAGAAGCUGGAGGCAUCGAGAUCCAGAAGGGGGAGUUGGAAGAUAAAGAAAAAUCACCAACCAGCUUUCCUGAAGCCCUGACCGUGAUCGGGGACCAACUGAGCCUUCAGCUCCUUCAGGUAACUGUGUUGGAACUUUCAGGAGAAUCUGGGAAGGCAGGAGAGCUGGGCUUCUAGGGUCAGACAAUGCAAGGGGAGUUGUUCAAAGAGCAUGUAAAGGAGUUUAGCUUCUGCCUAGGCCAACUACACACCUACUGGAUCACACUUCACACAGGAAACAACCAUAAAUUCUGCAUAAAAUACAAAAUGAAAAGAAGCGCCACAAACACAGGGACAAGACACAUUUCCUGAAGGCCGUAAAGAGGAGGGGGGGCAAAUUGUGGAAGGGAGCUGACAUUUGGGAGAAGGAGGAGGCAUGGGGAACGUUUCCUGUUUUGGUGGCUUUUCCCCUAAGGACAGGUCAUAGUCACUGCUGCUUGGGACAACUAUUUCUCCUGCUGAGACCCACGCUUUCUGGUCUGAAGAACAGAGGACAGAGUUUGGAACAAUCACAGCCCCUGGAAAAUAGAGGGGGAAGAAUCCAAACAGGGACAGAGCCAGAAAGGAAAAUCCCCCAAAUUCUGUGUAUAAACUUUGCCCAUGUCUUUUGGAGACCCAUGAGUCACAUAAUAAAAGAAUUAUGAGAAUAAAAGAACUGAAUUUAUUUGAGCUGCAGACCAAAAGACUUCUUUUGAAGCCAACGAAGGUGAUGGCCAAAACAAAACCGGAAACACUUUUCUGAGGACUGUAACAGAAUCCAGAGUCUACAAAAUUCAGAAUCCAUGUAGCAUAACAUUUACAAGGCUCAGAGAAUAAUGAAAAAUUACUUGGCAUUCAGAAGCCUGGGAAAUGUGAAAGAAGAGCCUAAAACCUUUUCGUUGGCCACCUCAGUGGUUUUUAUUCUUGGAUAGCUAUGUUUAAAGUAUCUGCAGUACCACAUGGAUGGAACUAGAGACUCUCAUCCUGAGUGAAGGAAGUCAGAAAGAGAAAGACAAAUACCACAUGCUGUCACUUAUAUCUGGAAUCUAAUAUACGGCACAAAUGAAUCUUUCCACAGAAAAGGAAAUCAUGGACUUGGAGGAUAGACUUGUGGUUGCCAAGGGGGAGGGGGAGGGAGUGGGAUGGAUGGGGAGUUUGGGGCUAAUAGAUGCAGACUAUUGCCUUUGGAAUGGAUUAGCAAUGAGAUCCUGCUCUGUAGCACUGGGAAUUAUGUCUAGUCACUUAUGAUGGAGAAAAAAGAAUGUAUACAUUUAUGUGUAACUGGGUCACCAUGCUGUAUAGUAGGGAAAAAAAAAACAAUGUAUUGGAGAAAUAAAAAAUAAAAUAAAAUAAAGUAAAAUAAAAUAAAAUAAAAAA
rnacentral:lncRNA from 1 species